CUCCCUCAAGGGGGCGAAGCGGGGGAGAGAAACUCAUGGUGACCUCUAGAAGAACGGGGCGCGCGGGCAUAACGGGGCGUCCCAAGAGGAUAUCGCCUCCGUGCCUUCGCGCUUGUCCCUCGGGGCGGUGGGGCGCCAGGAGCCCCCGGUCAGCCCCUGUGCGCGGUGCCGGCGCUGCUCGGGAGGGGGCCGGCGGGGGCGCGGAGGGCGGCGCCAUGUUGGCAGCGCGGCGGCAGGGCGAAGCGUCCGCGCCGGCGUCCGUCAGCACCGCGCUGCGCGUCCUCGUCGGCGCUUACUGAGAGGAGCUUUCCAAAAGAUAGAGAACAACUGCUAACAGUAGUUUUGUAGAAAAAGAAGAAAGCAAGAAAAGAGCGAAGGAUAGAGGAAAAAGAAGAACUCUUUCGAGUGUUUAGGGGUACUGGCUGAUACAAUGCCAGGAAAAAUGCUGCUAAUGAAGAAAUUUCUGUUCUGGAGCUUCACCUUCAAAGGGCAUCAUGUUUCUACAAUUUCUUCAAGGGCAGGAUUUGGAAAAUGCAUUCUCUUGACCAUUUGGUUCCCACUGGGAUUGCGUCUGUUCAGGACACACACGGGAGUGUAUAUGGCAAGUUUUUCCACAGAGAACCUCCAAGGGUCAGACGUUCAUUUGAUGAUGCUGUAGUCUGCAUUUCCAGUACUAUGGGCACAGAAGAAAGAUAAUCAUGUAUUUCAAGGUUGGCAACAGAAGAGGAAAAUAUCAGAAACAAUGCUGGAUUUCUACUAGUUAGAUGGUAUGUAACAGACAUUCACAAACAUUCACAUCCAAGUGACUUUAGCAUUUCUUCUCACCUUUGGCUUUCCUCAGUUGUUGCAAGGGAUCUCUUCUGGAAUUUCCAUUAUCCACUAAUCCUCUACACUUGGAUUGCCUGUCAGCUGCUGCUGCCUCCUUAAUACAUUUAAGAGAGAAGUUUGACAUUUGAACUAGUAGCUAUGGUUGCAGGCAAUCUGCUUUGUUCUUGGUCUAAAGGAGCCACAAAUUAAGACAGCUUUGCAGCAUCUGGAUAAGCAUUGUCUUUCCCUUAUAUGGAACAUUCAUCUUUACUGUGACCACAUUUACUGGCUGCUGAACACAUUGCGAAUUUGCAUGGAUCAGGUGAAAAUCUUUUGCCUUAUUUAUCUGUUCAAGGGAUAUUGUCUCACCCUUUGCACCCAUAUCUUAUCCCUACUGUAAUACUGGCUUGUGAUGAGCAUACAGACCCUUUACUUUUACACAAGUAUGUACACAAAAUGAUCUUUUGAAAUCAUUCAGGCAAUGGAUAUGUAUCAUGAAUACUAGGUCUGAGUGUUUCUAACUACUUAAGAUUUCUCUAAAUUUGAGUGCAGAGUGUGCAUCACUGAAAAAAACUAAAAGAGCAGUAAAAUAUUAUAUAAUACUGGUUUUAACUCCUUUCUUAUUAGUACCAAUUUAGGUACCUCGUUUUGAUCUUUCAUUGAAAUAAGCAUGGACACCAUAUGGUUUAGUGAGCAAAUAGUUUUGUUCCUUAACUGAACAUAGGACCUUAAAGAUUUUAUAGAGCUAAAAGCAAAAGAAGAAAGGAUAUUUCAUACAGUAUCAUAAGUUAAGAGAAUGAAACACUGGUUUAAGUGACAGGAAACAGAAAAGGGGAGCAAGCAUCUUUUAAGCAUGCUUAGAUAUUAAGGUGAUGUGAACUGUGCAAAAAUUUCAAAAAGUGUUCCUUCUGUCCACACACUUACCCUUGAAUUCCCAUGCCUAAUGCAUGGCUACUUUUAAAAUCUUGCUCCUCCUCUCCAGUCUUUGCUGAAAUCUUUCCAGUAUUAAUUUCUGCAAAUGUCCUGUCCUCAUCUGAAAUAUAAUCACACCCACCACAUAAACAGGAAUUAUAGCCAGUUGAAACCUCAGAAGUCAUGCUGUUAUGAGAGAUAGGUAACUUGGAAAUAAGAAACAAGUCACAAAUCACUGCUCUUUUUUUAUGCCAACAUCUUUCCAUGGAUCUUGAAUAAUUACACAACUGAUGGAAUUCAUUCUGCCUUUCUGCCUGGACAGGCAAAUUCUGCACCUAGCAGACUCCAAAGGUGUUUUUGUGCAUUCAAACUCUAGAGUCUGUGCAGUCCUCGGGGGAGAAUUUGAAUGCUAACAGACAUACAUUAAUGAAUUAGGUUGUAGCCAUCAGACUUCCAUUUCACUUUAAAAGCCUAAUUCUGUGUUUGUUUUUCCACUGACUGCUAUGGAAUUUUUGAGAGCAAUGAGAUGUAUUUCAAUUCCGUUUUUUUUCUUCUUGGCUUCAUGGUGACACCUUUUUAAUUCAUGCUAUUUUUCUACAUAUCUACAUCAAUAUCAUCAAAUACAUAAUUUGGUCUUUUGUGUUGGUCUGUGUUGGUAUGUUCAUUUCUGUCUUGGAUACCAAGUCAGGAGUUAGGUAAUCUGAUUUUUCGAGGAUCCUGUUCCUGUAAGCAAUGUGUAUAAUAUUCUCUGGCACAUUUUGACAAGGAAUGCAAAGUACAACAAGGAAUUUCUAAUAAAAUAACUUACUGCUUAAUAUUAAAAUUUACUCUGUAUGAGAUUUACAGAACUCCUAGGUAUACUCAAAUUUUCUUGAAUAAAUCGUUGAUAAAAUAAGUAAUCUCUUAUAUGAAAAAAUGCCUGAAUGUCGAGUGGGGAAACAGAAGCCUUAUUUCACUAGGGUGUAUCCAGAUUGGUCUAUAUCUUACACUUAAGUUUAUUAAGAAUUAUUCACAGAGUUACUGUUGUAUUUAAUGCUGAUAACAAGCUUAAUCCAGAAUGAAUUGAGAAAAUGCACUUAUAAUUUCCAUACCUACCUUAUUGUCCUUAAUUUGAAUUGCAACCAUUAGUUACGUCAUAUACAGUUUAAGAAUUGAAAUGAUACCACCAAAUCUUGUGGAAGAAUAUACAUCAAAAUAUGCCAUGAAUAUAAUUCAUUAGAUUUUACAGGACAGCAAGGGGUAUGUGUGAGUGUGUGUGCACAAUCUGCCAAAGCUAAAAAAACAACUGCUUGAUGAGUUUUUCUUCCUUUGUACCAGCCUACCCACUGAGCUGGUAAUUAUUCUUGCUUUUUAUCUAAUCAUUAAAAGAUAGAAAACAAUCUUUUUUCAGCUCUUCUCCCUCACAAAUCACAGAUAGGCCAUUAGAAAAUCUCUGUAUUCUGAAUCCAUUUUUAAUUUUUCCCUAUCCUUCACAAUUUAAAAUAUUUUAGACAAAUAAUUACUGCUACUGAAGAAAUAACACUAUUUUCAUGAGAUAGAUGGACUGAUCUGCUCUUUCAUGCUCUUAGACACAAGUCUGAAUCAAAAUCCAUGGAAGUUAAUAGAAGAAUCUUGUGUUUUGAAUCAAAGUGUGUCAGGAAGGUAUUAAUGAAUAAGUGGCUAAUCACUCAAUUCCCUCAAAUGGAACAAGUUCAUUAUACAAAUAACAUUGAAAGGGGUAAUGACAACUCAUUUUAGAUUCAUAACUGUGACAUUUAAUAAAAUAUGAUUUUACAAAUCACAAAGCUUGAAUUUCAAAAGAGCCUACCUGAGUUGGAAGACUAAAUCCCAUUGAAUUUCCAUUUAAAAAUAUAUUUCUAGAGUGCUUUGGUAUGGACAUUCUUUAUUUAUAAAUCAUCUUGAGUAUAUAAAAUUUGUGUAAAUAUAUACUGGAACAUGUAUACUUGAAUGGAAUGAAUGUAUUAUAAGCUCUUCAAAACAAAGACUGUUUCUUUUCUGUAUAGUUGUACAGGGCUCAAUAUUAUCAGGACCCUCAAGCUCAUUACACAAAAAUAGUAACAGUAGUACAGGAAUAAUAAUACUGUAUUC